rnacentral:rRNA from 1 species
UCUUAAAAUAAUUGCGGGGGCCCGCACAACGGUGGAGCAUGUGGUAUAUUCGAUGCAACGCGAAGACCUUACCUGGUCUUGACAUCCACAGAACUUUCCAGAGAUGGAUUGGUGCCUUCGGGAACUGUGAGACAGGUGCUGCAUGGCUGUCGUCAGCUCGUGUUGUAAAUGUUGGGUUAAGUCCCGCAACGAGCGCAACCCUUAUCCUUUGUUGCCAGCGGUCCGGCCGGGAACUCAAAGGAGACUGCCAGUGAUAAACUGGAGGAAGGUGGGGAUGACGUCAAGUCAUCAUGGCCCUUACGACCAGGGCUACACACGUGCUACAAUGGCGCAUACAAAGAGAAGCGACCUCGCGAGAGCAAGCGGACCUCAUAAAGUGCGUCGUAGUCCGGAUUGGAGUCUGCAACUCGACUCCAUGAAGUCGGAAUCGCUAGUAAUCGUAGAUCAGAAUGCUACAGUGAAUACGUUCCCGGGCCUUGUACACACCGCCCGUCACACCAUGGGAGUGGGUUGCAAAAGAAGUAGGUAGCUUAACCUUCGGGAGGGCGCUUACCACUUUGUGAUUCAUGACUGGGGUGAAGUCGUAACAAGGUAACCUCAGUCAGUCA